CUCUUAUCGCAUGAUCAUAGUAACAUAUACUGUAAACCACAACAAGCAAAUGCUCUCAUAAAAGUGUUAGACACUGGUCAAAACAGAUGAUUCUUUCAUACUAGGGUUUGAGAACAAUACCAUCUUCAAAAUCCGACUUAGUCAUGCUGAUGAGAAAUCACGAUUUUCAACCAAACACCAACUCAAUAAAGGUA
rnacentral:lncRNA from 1 species